GGGGGAACCCUGAUCAGCCAUUCCGCGUGAGUGAAGAAGGCCUUCGGGUUGUAAAGCUCUUUCAGCUGGAACGAAACGGUUCGCUCUAACAUAGCGGGCUAAUGACGGUACCAGCAGAAGAAGCACCGGCUAACUACGUGCCAGCAGCCGCGGUAAUACGUAGGGUGCGAGCGUUAAUCGGAAUUACUGGGCGUAAAGCGUGCGCAGGCGGAUUGUUAAGCAAGACGUGAAAUCCCCGGGCUUAACCUGGGAAUGGCGUUUUGAACUGGCAGUCUAGAGUGCGUCAGAGGGGGGUGGAAUUCCACGUGUAGCAGUGAAAUGCGUAGAGAUGUGGAGGAACACCGAUGGCGAAGGCAGCCCCCUGGGAUGACACUGACGCUCAUGUACGAAAGCGUGGGUAGCAAACAGGAUUAGAUACCCUGGUAGUCCACGCCCUAAACGAUGUCAACUGGUUGUUGGGGGAGUGAAAUCCCUUAGUAACGAAGCUAACGCGUGAAGUUGACCGCCUGGGGAGUACGGUCGCAAGAUUAAAACUCAAAGGAAUUGACGGA
rnacentral:rRNA from 1 species